AUUGAACGCUGGCGGCAUGCCUUACACAUGCAAGUCGAACGGCAGCACGGGAGCAAUCCUGGUGGCGAGUGGCGAACGGGUGAGUAAUAUAUCGGAACGUGCCCAGUCGUGGGGGAUAACGCAGAGAAAGCUGUGCUAAUACCGCAUACGAUCUAUGGAUGAAAGCGGGGGAUCGCAAGACCUCGCGCGAUUGGAGCGGCCGAUAUCAGAUUAGCUAGUUGGUGAGGUAAAGGCUCACCAAGGCGACGAUCUGUAGCUGGUCUGAGAGGACGACCAGCCAAACUGGAACGGAGACACGGUCCAGACUCCUACGGGAGGCAGCAGUGGGGAAUUUUGGACAAUGGGCGAAAGCCUGAUCCAGCAAUGCCGCGUGCAGGAUGAAGGCCUUCGGGUUGUAAACUGCUUUUGUACGGAACGAAACGGUGAGCUCUAAUACAGUUUGCUAAUGACGGUACCGUAAGAAUAAGCACCGGCUAACUACGUGCCAGCCGCCGCAGUAA
rnacentral:rRNA from 1 species